AGGACACCGCCGUCUCUCGUCCUGUCAAAAAAAAACUCGUUCAUCUAGAAAAACAAACAAAAAAAAACUCGUUGUCUCGCGUGUCGCCGCCGCCGCCUUGCCGCGUCUGAUCCGGUGGAAGCUGUCCCGCCCGCGCGCUCCUCUCGCUGUGGCCGUCGUCGCAAUUCACCGCUUACUCUCCUCGGUGCCGGCUCAUCCUCGCCGAUCUACUCCAGCCACCACGCAGGCGCGGUAUUUGGUGGAAGCUGACCCAGCCCACACGCUCUCCAGCUCACGGCCUACGCUCUCCUCGCCGUGGGCAUCGUCGCAGCACGCGCGACCACCUCGUCGUGGAGCGCACUGGUGGAGGCGCGCGUCCACGGAUCCGCGGAGGUCGUACCUAACUGGACAUGGGAGCCCUCAAGCUCCUCCCCAUUCCAUCAACGAGCAAUCAAAUGGUCUGAAGGUCCAACUUCAGGUAUCUCAAACUGAACCUACGAACAAUUGCAAUCUGAGGCUAAAACAUUCAAGAAUGUGAAAAAUUGAAAAGGUUGAACGGUUUAAUGCAGAACAUGACAAACUUGAACAGAAAAAGAGAAAGCUGUUCACAACUCCACAGCAGAAGGAGGAUCCUGGCUCCAAUGGCGCUGUGCGGCCAUAUCCAGCUAGGGGUGCAGCAGCGACCCCUCUUUCAUUCAGUAAACACCUGAAGCGUGCCAAUCUUGCAGUUACCACUGUGGCGCCCUUUGCGAGCUUCUCAACAGG